GUGUGUAUGUUUCCCAUAGUCACUGUUUUGCUGAUGGUAUUCCUAUAAAGGUUACCUAGGUGCUCUGUAGAGUGGAUUUGGUGUAUUUUAAUAUAUUCAUCUUGCUAUAUUUCAUUUAAUGUGUAUAUGUGUUACAAGAUGAAGCACAUUUUAAUACUGCAUUUUAAUUUUAGGUUUUAAUUUAAUUUUAUGCUUGUGAAUGUUUUGGCUGCAUGUGUAUGUAUGUAUUACAUUUGUGUCUGGUGUCUAUAGAGGGCGUAAGGUGUCAGGUAUUCUGGAACUGGAGUUACAGAUGGUUGUGAGCCACCAUAUGGGAGCUGGGAAUCUUAACUCAGCCUCUUCCUCUGGAAGAGCAGCCAGUGCUUUUACCUACUGAGCCAUUUCUUCUGGUGUCAAGGUUAAAUUGGGGGCGGGGGUAUGGGGUAGUUUUGAGACAGUUGCUCAAUGUAGCUUUGUAGACCAGACUGGCCUCAAACUCACAGAGAGCCGCCUAUCUAUGCCUUCGGAGUGCUGGGAUUAAAGGCCUACACCAUCACUGCCUGGCUUCAAGAUGAAUUUUUUAAAGACUUAUUUUUAUUUUUGUGUGUGUAUAUGCGUGCUCGUGCGUGUGCCUGGUCUGCGCCAUUAUGUAUGUAUGCAUGUGUUUGGGAGGAGGUACCUUUGGAAGCCAGAGAUACCAUAUUCCCUGGAGCUGGAGUUAAAAGCAGUUAUGAGCUGUUAGAUGUUGGUGCUGGGAACCAAACUCAGGUUUUUGGCAAGAACAAUAUGUACUUUUAACCAUUGAGCCAUCUCUCUCCAGCCUAGAUAUAGCUCAGGCUGACCUCUAACUCACUGUGCAUCUGAGGUGAUCCUUGAACUCCUGAUCCCAAAUGCUGCAAUUACAAGCAUGCCUCACCACAUUUGGCUUAGCAGGAUGUUUUAACAGAUUAUCCAUAUCCAGUUCAUAGCACAUCGCUUUUUCAGCUUGUUUUAUUGAAGUAGCAGGACCCUGGCAGGAUAAUUUGGUAUGGGUAGCACAUACUGUAUGUAAAGUCCAGCCUUGGGCAGCCAUACCAUCCAAAGAGUAAAGCAUGGUGAUUGCUUCAUCUUUGCUCAAGUUUAUCCGCCCUUUUCAUUGCCACUAGCAACUCUUCUGUCACCCCCCUGCUUGUGGUUAUGUUACUUUCAAAUUCCAUUUUUCUGUUCCAGUAUGCAUGGGAUGUGCAUAUGUGUGCACACAUUGACAUUUGCACAUGAACAUGCAAACCCAACGUUUGGGCGUCAUCAUCCUUCAGUUACUUUUUUACUUCUGAGGCAGGGUCUUAGUCAAGCCCAGAGCACUCCAAUCUGGCUUGUCUUGCUAGCCAGCUUGUGCUGGGGAUCCCAUAUCUCAAAGAUGGAAUUACAGGCAGAUUGCCACAUCCACCUGGCAUUUAUGUGGAUUUCUGGGCGUCUGAACUCACACUCAGUAUGCACAAGCACUUGAGCUACUGAGUUACCUAUCUCCUUCUGUCAGUACUUUUUAAUCUGCAAAUGAGAUCAUGACAUCUUGUCCCAGUAGGUAUUAAAUGACAUCUUUGGGCUGUUGCUUAAUUAGGCACUGUAGCUGGCUACCGGCCUUUCAAUAAAGUGCAGUCUAGUAGAGAGAAAGAAAGCAAUCACUAAUUAAUAGAGAACUUAAAACUAAAAGAAGUGUUCUGAAGGGAUGAAAUCACGGCUGCAAUAGGACAAAGAAACCUGAUCUAAAUAGAGACUAAGGAAAUGUCUUUUGAAAUGAUAUUUGAGAUGGAGGGGUGUAGCUCUGUGGUGGAGCAUUCGCCUAGCAUGAAUAAGUCCCUGGUUCAAUUCCAAGUUUAAGAUAAGAGCUAAAAAGUACAUAUUAGAUGAAGCAGAUUGAGAAAGAAAAAAAAAAUCAGAGGCCCGUCAUGUAGGCUUGGUGGCAGGAGGAAGCAUAGCUUACGCCAGGAACUGAAAGAAAACAGCUGGGCUAGAGGGCAGCACGCUUAGAAUUGCUGAGAUGAGAUGAGAUGGGGGCUGGUAUUGUAGCAGAACCAGACCAUGAAGCCACACGAGCAGUGUGUGUGUGUGUCCGUGUGUCCAUGUGUCCGUGCCCGUACCUGUGGAAGCAGAGGUGCCAUCUACUUUUCUCUCUGAGAUAGGAGAGUAGUUAUUUUGAUGGACUUGGAAGUUGUGAAAUCAGCUGAAGAGGUUGGAAUAAAGAUUGGGAAUCCAGUGCCCUAUAAUGAAGGUAAAAUCUUCCUUAUAGGUUGUAGUCCUCAAUUGGAUACUGCUUUAUGGAUCCAGAAUGUAACUGUGUGACUUAUUAGUCUUAAUAAUAAAAUAGUGAUUUGGGGGAUUAGAAACCAGA